UACGGAGGGGGCUAGCGUUGUUCGGAAUUACUGGGCGUAAAGCGCACGUAGGCGGCUUCGCAAGUCAGGGGUGAAAGCCCGGGGCUCAACCCCGGAACUGCCUUUGAUACUGUUGGUCUGGAGUUCGAGAGAGGUGGGUGGAAUUCCGAGUGUAGAGGUGAAAUUCGUAGAUAUUCGGAGGAACACCAGUGGCGAAGGCGGCCCACUGGCUCGACACUGACGCUGAGGCGCGAAAGCGCGGGGAGCAAACAGG
rnacentral:rRNA from 1 species